rnacentral:rRNA from 1 species
AACGAACGCUGGCGGCAUGCCUAACACAUGCAAGUCGAACGAGACCUUCGGGUCUAGUGGCGCACGGGUGCGUAACGCGUGGGAACCUGCCCUUAGGUUCGGAAUAACUCCCCGAAAGGGGUGCUAAUACCGGAUAAUGUCUUCGGACCAAAGAUUUAUCGCCUUUGGAUGGGCCCGCGUUGGAUUAGCUAGUUGGUAGGGUAAAAGCCUACCAAGGCGACGAUCCAUAGCUGGUCUGAGAGGAUGAUCAGCCACACUGGGACUGAGACACGGCCCAGACCCCUAGGGGGGGGAGCAGGGGGGAAUAUUGGACAAGGGGGAAAAGCCUGACCCAGCAAUGCCGGGGGAGGGAUGAAGGCCUUGGGGUUGUAAAGCUCUUUUACCCGGGAUGAAAAUGACAGUACCGGGAGAAUAAGCCCCGGCUAACCCCGG